rnacentral:sRNA from 1 species
UGGUAUACUUUCUCUAAGAAGAUAAUAGAACAUUCAUAAAAUUACAGGUGCAAGGAGUCUGGGUUUGAUUCCUCUCAGUUGGUAUGAAAGUAAUGUAUGCAGGAUUAUUACUCCAGUAUUUUUCUUACUGUUAUUUUCAUCUCAGGACAGGUGUAAAAGAUUUGGCCCAUCUUAAAUUUUCCCUAACAAAGAUGCAGUUAAAGAAAAUUUAUUUGUAGUUUUCAAUUAGUUUUGCAAUCCGUUGUGAAUGAAGAUGAAUGAGAUGUUAUAAAACAGGGCUAAAAUUUCCCUGUAUACAGUAUCUCUUUCUAAAUCUCACAUUUGCUACCUCUACUUAAUAAUGAAAAAUCAAUUAAUAGAAGGUACAAUGUACAACCAUACUGAUGACUCCUGGCCAGGAAAUAGAACUACAUUGUACCAAUUUUGCUAGAUUUGCACCCUGAUUCUAGAGUAUUAAUUUACAACCACAAGGUUUUAAAAUAACAUGUUGCGGGAUGAUAGAAAUAAUGACCAACCAGACUGGGAUUUGAACCAGGGCCCACUGAAUCUCUAGUUAGGUGCUCUACCAACUGAACAAGCUAGCGCCAGCCUGAUAUUCGAACCAGUCUGUCAUCUUCCUUAAAUGAUCUUCACUCCUGAAGAUCUGCUUGAUUGCUUAAUAGGUAAUAAUUACCAUAUUAAAGAAAACCAACAUGAAACAAAAAUAUUAAGAACAUAUGUUAAUUACUUAUGGGGUAAUGCAUCAUAAUUUGGCAACUUUUGGAAAUUCAAUCAAGAAACAUACAGAACCCAAAUAUUAUUUAUAGCUUAAGGUGGUACAUGGGACACCUCCAUGUUGUGACGUACUAUUUAUUGAAAUAGACAAUAAAAUCAAGCAUAAUUCU